rnacentral:lncRNA from 1 species
AUCACAGUGACAUCCAGAGAUGUGAUUCAAUCUCUUAGAUGUUUCUAAGUUUAGUUAAAUAGACAAUACAAUGCAACAAUUGCAGGCACGCUUGAUGUUGGACUAAAUGUAUUUUGGAUUAUGGGAUGGCUGUGUACCUUUGGGAGUUAGGAAGGAAUAUUGCAUGUUGAAUCUGAAAUGUCCCCUACAGAUUUGUGGCUUGAAUUCUUAUCCCUCAGGUGGUGGUGCUACUUAGAGAGGCUAUGAAAUGUGGACAAAAGUGGGCCACUAGGGGUUGUACCCAGCCCUUGGUUCCUGCCAUUCACACUGCUUCCUGGUUUACUGUGAUGUGGACUGUCUCUGCCAUAGGCUGCCACAGCCAUGAACUGAGCCUUCCAGCCAUGCAUGCCUUUCUCACCACCAGGAACCCAAGCCCUCAGAAACCAUGAGCCCUUCCUCUCUUAAGCUCUUUCUAGCAGGUAGUUUGGUCAAAGCAAACAUAACUAAUACAUACGUAUUUUAGAGGCUAGAGAGAUGGCUCAGUGGUUAAGAGCAGUUAUUGCUCUUGCAGAGGAUCUCGAGUUCCCUUUCCAACAUCCACAUAGUGGCUCACAACAAUCUGUAACUCCAGUUUUAGGGAAUCUGAACCCCCUUUCGUGCCUCCAUUGACACCAGACACUCCUGUGGUAUAGAUACAUACAUACAUGUAAACAAACACUGAUACACAUAAAACCAGUCUAGAAAAGUUUUUUUUUAAUUUAAAUCCUUUCAUAUAUUCUUUUACUUGUAUUUCUAAUGAUCCUAAGAAGCAGCUACCAUUGUUAUUCCAAUUUUAUAGAUAAGAGAGUUAAGACUUGACCAAGUUAAGAAACUUGUGUCUGGUCCAAGAGCUGUGAAACUUAGCCACAGGUGCUGCAGACUCCCUCGGGGACAAACAAAGUGGAGAGCGGACAGAGGACAGUUGCUAAGUUCAGAAGGGUUGUGACCUGUCACCAGGACUUCCUUUGGAUCAAGUCAAACCUCUGCAAGCCCAGAUCAACUACUGUGAAGCAGCCAGGCUAAGCAGCCGCACUGUGGAAAGCAGCCUCGGCACAAAGCAGGGCAGGCACAGUUUUGAAUCCAGCGUCACCUGCUUGCAGCAUAACUUCUCAGAAAAGCAUCUUCUGUCAAGCAGCUCGGAACACAGAAUCACCGGUAGCUCCCAAGGGCUGGAGAGACCUACCCCUUCCUCCCAAGCUCUGGGAUUAAAGCUACUCACCACCACAGCAGGCUUUAAGGU